GACGAACGCUGGCGGCGUGCUUAACACAUGCAAGUCGAGCGGUAAGGCCCUUUCGGGGGUACACGAGCGGCGAACGGGUGAGUAACACGUGGGUGACCUGCCCUUAGCUCUGGGAUAAGCCUGGGAAACUGGGUCUAAUACCGGAUAUGACUCCAUGACGCAUGUUGUGGGGUGGAAAGCCUUGUGCGGCUAGGGGAUGGGCCCGCGGCCUAUCAGCUUGUUGGUGGGGU
rnacentral:rRNA from 1 species